rnacentral:rRNA from 1 species
CCUACGGGUGGCAGCAGUCGAGAAUCAUUCACAAUGGGGGAAACCCUGAUGGUGCGACGCCGCGUGGGGGAAUGAAGGUCUUCGGAUUGUAAACCCCUGUCAUGUGGGAGCAAAUUAAAACGAUCGUACCACAAGAGGAAGAGACGGCUAACUCUGUGCCAGCAGCCGCGGUAAUACAGAGGUCUCAAGCGUUGUUCGGAAUCACUGGGCGUAAGGCGUGCGUAGGCUGUUUCGUAAGUCGUGUGUGAAAGGCGCGGGCUCAACCCGCGGACGGCACAUGAUACUGCGAGACUAGAGUAAUGGAGGGGGAACCGGAAUUCUCGGUGUAGCAGUGAAAUGCGUAGAUAUCGAGAGGAACACUCGUGGCGAAGGCGGGUUCCUGGACAUUAACUGACGCUGAGGCACGAAGGCCAGGGGAGCGAAAGGGAUUAGAUACCCCAGUAGUC